AAUAUUGGUCAGUGCAUGAAAUUUUAAACAUAUUUUUUACACAACCAUUGAAUAUCAAAGAAAAUAUCCUCAAAACAAAAUGUCUCAAAAAGUUAGCAACGACGGCGAUUAUGGACGCUGUUAUCAGUUUUGGCAAGACUUAGUCGACUGUUUCGCCGAACACGGACGAUAUGGCCAGCAGAAAAAAUGUAUUCAACAAAAAGAAGAUUAUGAUGAAUGUCUGCAUCACAGAAAACUGUUAACAAGACUGGAACGGAUACAUCUAGAGAAGGAGAGAUUGAUAAAAGAAGGAAAGUGGCCUUCAUGAACUUCUCACACAUAAAUCUUUGCAAAAACAUAAAUAUAUUUUAUAAAAAAAGACACAUAAUUUUGUGUUACAUAUGCAUGUGCUUUGCUGAGAUUAUAUAUGAUACAUUGUCUUCAUAACUCCAUUUUCUCUAGUAAAAUUGUUAUGUAAAAAGAAUUUGGUGGAUUUCUUCAUAAUGAAAAUAAAAAUGCUAAUUACGGCA